rnacentral:rRNA from 1 species
GAGACAGCAGAGCCGCGGUAAUACGUAGGGUGCGAGCGUUAAUCGGAAUUACUGGGCGUAAAGCGUGCGCAGGCGGUGAUGUAAGACCGAUGUGAAAUCCCCGGGCUUAACCUGGGAACUGCAUUGGUGACUGCAUUGCUAGAGUAUGGCAGAGGGGGGUGGAAUUCCACGUGUAGCAGUGAAAUGCGUAGAGAUGUGGAGGAACACCGAUGGCGAAGGCAGCCCCCUGGGCCAAUACUGACGCUCAUGCACGAAAGCGUGGGGAGCAAACAGGAUUAGAUACCCCCGUAGUCCCUGUCUCUUAUACA